UACAGAGGGGGCAAGCGUUGUUCGGAAUUACUGGGCGUAAAGGGCGCGUAGGCGGCCUGUUAAGUCGAACGUGAAAUCCCCGGGCUCAACCCGGGAACUGCGUCCGAUACUGGCAGGCUUGAAUCCGGGAGAGGGAUGCGGAAUUCCAGGUGUAGCGGUGAAAUGCGUAGAUAUCUGGAGGAACACCGGUGGCGAAGGCGGCAUCCUGGACCGGUAUUGACGCUGAGGCGCGAAAGCCAGGGGGAGCAAACGGG
rnacentral:rRNA from 1 species